CACAUCCAAGGAAGGCAGCAGGCACGCAAAUUACCCAAUCCCAGCUCUGGGAGGUAGUGACGAAAAAUAACAAUGCGGGACUCUUCCGAGUCUGCGUAAUUGGAAUGAGCACACUUUAAAUCCUUUAGCAACAACCAAUUGGAGGGCAAGUCUGGUGCCAGCAGCCGCGGUAAUUCCAGCUCCAAUAGCGUAUAUUAAAGUUGUUGCGGUUAAAAAGCUCGUAGUUCGAGUUCAGUUUCGGACUGGGGUGGGAGGUCACCGCCCGGUGCUUGCCCCCUAGGCUCCGAACAGCUUCCUAUAGUGGAAGCCAAGUCGGUUCUGGCGGGGUGCUCUUUACCGAGUGUCCCGUGCGGCCGGCCAGUUCACCUUGAAUAAAUGAGAGUGCUCAAAGCAGGCUACUCUGGAAUACAAUGCCGGAAUUUUGGUUGCAUGGAAUGAUGGAAGAUGAUCUCGGUUCCAUUUUGUUGGUGGUGGGAGCCAGAGGUAAUGAUAAAGAGGGACUGUCGGGGGCAUCCGUACUACGACGCGAGAGGUGAAAUUCAGUGACCGUCGUAGGACGAACAACAGCGAAAGCAUUUGCCAAGAAUGUCUUCGUUGAUCAAGAACGAAAGUUAGAGGAUCGAAGGCGAUCAGAUACCGCCCUAGUUCUAACCCUAAACGAUGCUGACUAGCAAUUCGCCGUCGUUAUUCCCAUGACGUGGCGAGACGCCCCCGGGAAACCUCAAGUUUUUGAGUUCCGGGGGUAGUAUGGUUGCAAAAGUGAAACUUAAAGGAAUUGACGGAAGGGCACCACCAGGAGUGGAGCCUGCGGCUUAAUUUGACUCAACACGGGAAAGCUCACCAGGCCCGGACACCAGAAGGAUUGACAGAUUAAGAGCUCUUUCUCGAUUUGGUGGGUGGUGGUGCAUGGCCGUUCUUAGUUGGUGGAGUGAUUUGUCUGGUUAAUUC
rnacentral:rRNA from 1 species